GUACUACAGAAACUCAGGUGAUCAGCUUGAAGUUCCCAGUCAAGGGAGAAUCGGACUUCAUAGAAACAGCAGGGAAAUCUUGGCUGCCCCCUUGCAGUGUUGACCUUCAGAAGGCUAGCAGGCUCGAUGACAUUGCCAGGCUCAGUGCUCUGAAACCACACUCUCUUCUCCUCUACGACAGCUGAGAGAUCGGUUUCAGUCCCGGAGCAUUAAGUUAACUGUAAUCUCCUUCACCUGCUGAUGUUGCAACGAGGCUUCAAACGCUACUCUGACCUCCAGGAAGUAGAAUUGCCGGAGAAAUGAAGCUUUCCACUUCCUACUUAAAAGAAGAUUGCUUCAAAACCUCCUUAAUCUUCUCUUCCAGAGCACGUGUGGCAUUACUGAAGCAGAGCAAGAAGAGCCCAUCCUCCAGUGAAACCACCGCAGGCUAUCAUACUCAUUUUUAUGUUCUAGAGUGGGGGAUGGGGAGCGGACUGGGGAAUCGGCAAGGCCUAACUGCUCCUAACUUCUAGCAGUGGAAUAUCUGAGAGGAAACAAUUGGAAAGAAGCAGCCUGUCUCCUGGACAGCAGAGAGUGUGGAGAAUACGACUGUCACUGUCAGGAAUGAGAAGCUUUUCCUGCUACCUUUCUUUGCUGCGAGUCCCAGACAACGCACAGAUAUCCUCUCAGUUCGUAAAGAGAUACGUGAGAUCCUGAGCUCACUGAAAAACGCCUUU
rnacentral:lncRNA from 1 species